GGGGAAUCACUUUACAGUACUGAUAUUUGAUAACACACUUAUAAAACAGACAAGGAGCAUCGGAUGCUCUUAGUACAUAUAGGCUUUAAUAAAGAAAAUAAAGUGUUGUAGGUGUCCUAACACUUAUAUUUUAAUAAAGUAAACAGUAUCAGCUCUUUUCUAUUGAGGAACAGCUUAGCGGGAGUUCUGGCUUGGACUCAGAUUAAAGUUGAGAUAAUCUGAGUCAUCAGAGUCAAUAUCUUUGCCAUACUUUUGACCCAUGACUGGUCUUCACGUGACUUGUCCUGGUUCACCUCUUCAUAAUUUUGCAUGGGCUCAUCUUCUACAAGGUCUUAAGAAUCUUGGAAUGUAAUGUCACAAUCAGGCACCUGUUCUGGUUGACCCUUUGGACUAAUCGAGGUUGAAUCUGUCAUUCGA
rnacentral:misc_RNA from 1 species